CACCACCACAGAGUCUGAGUUCCUCACCUUCUCCAUCCUCCUCUGAAACCAGCAGCAAACACCAAGAGGAACCAGCUGCAGCUUCAGGUCUGCUGCUUUAUGUGGGUCUGGCUCUAGUCUUCCUGAUCCUCCUGUUAGCUGCAGCUCUGCUGAUUUUCUUCAAGAGGAAAAGCUUCGGUCAACAGAAAGGUUCUCCAGAAGAAACAUAUUACAGUAACGUCUCCAAGGCUAAAGAAGACGAAGUAGAGUACUCUGAGGUGCAUCUGUUGAACGAUACCACUACUUCGUCCAACAGCGCCCCCUGUGGUCACGCAGAUAAAGUCAUCUACUCUGAGCUUCAGCAAGCUGUGAGCUCUGCAAACCACAGCAAUGAUUCUGCUCUUUAUUCCAACAUUACUUUACAGCAGUAAUUUGCUGAGGAUCUGCUGUUUGUGGUCAUCAGAGAAACUCAUUAAGUAAUCAGGUAUGAGCUUAAGAAUAAUUCUCAUCAUUUCAACAUACAAUCCAAUGAAACGUGUCCUCUGCAUUUAACCCAUCCCUCAGGGAGCAGUGGGGCUGCCACUGUGCAGCGCUCAGGGUGCAUUCUGGGGUGAAGGGCCUUGCUCAGGGACCCAUAGUCGCAGUCUGUGGGAGUCCAACCAGCAACCUUGCACCCUCUCCAGGAGACAUGCACCCUGCUCUCUAACCACCAGGCCACCACUCCUUCACUUCAACAUAAAGUUAGCUUUACUACUGUUUAGAUUCCUCUAAACUACUAAUUGUGAUUAUUCAAUUUAUUUAUGACUCUCAUUAAUGUCUCAAUCAACGUCUGUCAGAAUUUGUUCAUGAAUAUUACAGACCUGACCACCAUGAUCUAAUCAAAAAUGUUUCUCAGCCCUGGUCCUCAGGUCCACUGUUCUGCAUAGAGAAGCUGUGAUGACCUCAGAGGUUUGUCAGAAACUCAUCAUAACUUAAUAAUAAGCCUCCAGGUUGAAUCAGGUGUGUUAGAACCAGAGGUGGCUAGAGCAGCCAACAAUGUUACAUGAAGAAAACUUCAUAAUAAGGUGCUACGGGAUUUAUAUUUCAUUUCAAAAUUAUUUAUAUGCUUAAAAAUAACCAGAACAAUGAAGCUUGUGUAACAAUAAGAAGUUUGACUUUAACAUGAACUGUACUGGUUUUAUAUUUCAUUUGAAAAUUAUUUAUUUACUUACAAAUAAUAUAUCAAAACAAUGAAAUAUGACUUUAACAAAAACUGUAUGUGUGUUUCUGUGUUUUGUGCAUUUUUAGUUAAAACACAUUUGUUCUUCAUUCAGUGAAAUCACUAGAGGAGGUAGAGCAGCCAGGAGUUUUACUCAAGUAAGAGUAGCUCUACUUUAAAAUAAUGUUGUUCAAGUAAAAGUAAAAAGCACAGGGCAGUAAAAGUACUCCUAGAAGGUCAUUUAUUUUAUACAGUUACUCAGAUAGAUACAACCGAGUAAAUGUAACUAGUUACUGCCCUCUUCUGGUUAAAGUCUGAGUUACUGAGCAGCAGGUGUUUUUUUUACUGCAGGGAAAGUUCAUGUUGUCUGAUUGUUUCUGAAAGCAGGAGCUUCUACUUACAAUAGUUUUUUGUUUCAGGAUCAUGAAAACAUAAAUCUAUGAAAGCCACCGUGUUGUUGGUACAAGAGAUUAAAUAAACUGAAAUACAUUUUUAUUUCUUCAUUACCCCUACACCUCUAAUAGUAUU